AUUGAACGCUGGCGGCAGGCCUAACACAUGCAGGUCGAACGAGUGGCGGACGGGUGAGUAAUGUCUGGGAAACUGCCUGAUGGAGGGGGAUAACUACUGGAAACGGUAGCUAAUACCGCAUACCAUCAGAUGUGCCCAGAUGGGAUUAGCUAUUUGGUGGGGUAACGGCUCACCAAGGCGACGAUCCCUAGCUGGUCUGAGAGGAUGACCAGCCAAACGGGAACUGAGAAACGGUCCGGCCUCCUACGGGAGGAAGCAGUGGGGAAUAUUGCACAAUGGGCGAAAGCCUGAUACAGCCAUGCCGCGUGUAUGAAGAAGGCCUUCGGGUUGUAAAGUACUUUCAGCGGGGAGGCGUUACCCGCAGAAGAAGCACCGGAUAACGCCGUGCCAGCAGCCGCGGUAAUAC
rnacentral:rRNA from 1 species